rnacentral:rRNA from 1 species
CCUACGGGGGGCUGCAGUAGGGAAUCUUCCGCAAUGGACGAAUUUCUGACGGAGCAACGCCGCGUGAGCGAAGAAGGCCUUCGGGUCGCAAAGCUCUGUUGUUAGGGAAGAACAAGUAUCGGAGUAACUGCCGGUACCGUGACGGUACCUAACCAGAAAGCCACGGCUAACUACGUGCCCGCAGCCACGGUAAUACGUAGGUGGCAAGCGUUGUCCGGAAUUAUUGGGCGUAAAGCGCGCGCAGGUGGUUCCUUAAGUCUGAUAUGAAAGCCCACGGCUCAACCGGGGAGGGUCAUUGGAAACUGGGGAACUUGGGUGCAGGAGAGAGGAGCGGAAUUCCACGAGGAGCGGUGAAAUGCGUAGAGAUGUGGAGGAACGCCAGUAGGGAAGGCGGCUGUCUGGUCUGUUACUGACGCUGAGGCGCGAAAGCGUGGGGAGCGAACAGUAUUAGAUACCCGUGUAGGC